CUUUCCCAUCUAAAGUGUUUGGCUCCAAGGGUCAUUCAUAUAAUGGAACAUCUUCAAGUUAUCCUUCUAAUGCUCAGUUACAAAAUCAGGUUUCUACAUUAACAGCCCAACUCAAUGAAAUGAAGGCAAUGGUUAAUUUUUUGAUACAAAAUUAUCAAGGAGAGUUGCCUCGUGAUUUUACUAUGCAUCAUGCACCAACGGUAUCUGAUCAAGGAAGUGUUCCUAACGAAGAAACAAAUUAUC